AAUCGCCGGGUGCACAUGCAUCCAUGUAGUUAAGAGUUGCAGGGAGCAGUAGCGAUGGACACUCUGGAUCGAGUUGUAAAGCUCAAAACGAAAAGAGCCAAGAGAUUCCUUGAGAAGAGAGAACCGAAACUCAAUGAAAAUAUUAAAAAUGCCAUGCUGAUUAAAGGGGGAAAUGCAAAUGCAACAGUGACACAAGUACUUAAAGAUGUGUAUGCACUGAAAAAACCAUAUGGUGUACUGUAUAAAAAGAAAAAUAUUACAAGACCUUUUGAAGAUCAGAUAUCACUGGAAUUCUUUUCAAAGAAGUCAGAUUGUUCUUUAUUCAUGUUUGGCUCCCAUAACAAGAAGCAGCCAAAUAAUCUAGUAAUAGGUCUUAUGUAUAACCACCAUGUGCUGGACAUGACUGAAUUAGGUAUUGAGAAUUUCAUCUCUCUAAAAGACAUUAAGAACAGUAAAUGUCCUGAGGGAACAAAACCCAUGCUAAUAUUUGCUGGUGAUGAUUUUGAUGUAACAGAAGGUCAUAGAAGACUACAAAGUCUUCUUAUUGAUUUCUUCAGAGGCCCCACAGUAUCAAAUAUCCGCCUGGCUGGAUUAGAGUAUGUUCUGCACUUCACUGCACUGAAUGGGAAGAUUUACUUUCGAAGCUAUAAGUUGCUGUUGAAGAAAUCUGGUUGCAGAACACCACAGAUUGAAUUGGAAGAGAGGGGACCCUCAUUGGAUCUGGUUCUGAGGAGGACACACCUGGCAUCCGAUGACCUUUAUAAAUUAUCUAUGAAAAUGCCAAAAGCUCCCAAGCCAAAUAAGAAGAAAAAUAUCUCCCAUGAUACUUUUGGUACAACUUAUGGAAGGAUUCAUACGCAGAAGCAAGACCUAAGCAAACUACAAACCAGGAAAAUGAAGGGGUUGAAGAAGCGACCUGCAGAAAGGAUAACAGAAGACCAGGAGAAAAAGUCAAAAAGAGUUAAAAAAAAUUGAUGGAACUUAGCCAGCCACUCCUGUUUCAUUGUGUUCUACUUAAGAGAAUUAUCAAGCGUCAACCCAUUCAGAGUUUCUUAUGAGAUCUUAUUAUAUAUUUUUAUAACAUGAUAAUUUUACAAUAUUAUGAACAGUAAUAUGCUAGUAUUAAGUGUAAAGUAAGCCUUUUAUUUGAGACAUUACACUCUGGUGUGCCAUUUUCUCUUGUGAUAUCCCCUGCCCUCCACAAAUUCUUCUUUCUCAUUGGGUGAAUGGGUGGGAGAGGAGGGAUCUCCAUAACCAAUGGAAUUUUUUUGAAUUUCUGGCCUUAGCUAAAGGAAGACAUAGAAAGCAGAAAUGACCUGCAGGAGCUGUGUAGACACGUUCAAUAUGAACUACCUGGAAAGUUAACCUCCUUUCCCAACAUAGAUCUACAACCUGAUUUUUAUUUUCUACUUUUGUUAUUUUGCCGUAAAUCCUACUAGUUGACAGUUGAGAUUUUAAGCUUUGUGGCUGAAAAUAUAGAU